rnacentral:lncRNA from 1 species
GAGGGAUUAGAGGGAUAAAGUCACUGUCAGUCAGAAGAAACAAGAAUGUGGGCUGGACGUGCCACACUGGGGUCUUCUGAAAGUAGGCGCAGCAUCUGCAGCUCCUCAUACCCGGCCCAAAGGUUUUAUAAUAAUCAAGAAGCACAUGAAAAGGCCUCUUCAUCAAGCAUUCUUGACUAAGUUAUGAAAAUGGAAUUGAAGUUUAUUUUCCCCCUUCAUAUGGGCUAAAUUCUCCGAGGACCAGACCCCUUUUCCACUAGCGUAAUGGAGCUUCUCCCUUCAUCAGCCUCCUUAAGUAAACUUCAGCCAGGACAGGGACAUUUCGG